GAGACAAGUGAAUGCUACUCCCCUUUCUUGCUUUUCUCCUGCUUCUCAGUCAUCCCAGUCGGACAACAUCUCCUGGGAUAAUGGCAAACAUUGGUGCUGAUGUUGGGCUCUGACUGUGAAAGAAAUGACCUCUGAGGAAAUCCUGUGGAUGGAGGAGCAGCUUUCAUGUGAGGCGGAGCAGAGGGAUCCCACGUUGAAUGCUUGUCAAAGGUCAUACGUGUCACCACUCAAGGUAAGAAGUAAUUCGUUCGUUCAUGCGGUUGACAUUUGCUGAGUGCCCAUCAUGGGCUUGAUGCUAGAGAGUCACCAUCCCCAUAUGUAAUUCAUGCCCAGUUAAAGCUGUCACAGAAUUGGAAUCCAUUCACUAGAAGGAGAAAAAGUCACUGUUCCCUGUCUCCAGGAAGCUCACUUUCUAAGAAUAAUUACUAAUCUUUAUAUCUUCACCUUGUACUUUGACUAAAGUACAAUUUAAUUGUAUCCUUACUCCCCUCCUUAUAAGAUAGAAUUAUUACCCCAUAAGUUUAUAAUUGAGGAAAAUGAGCCUUGACCGUACUCAAGAUCACACAGCUAGUAAGGUCAGAUGACUUGCUUCCCAGGGGUUUGGGGACCACAGUUCCUGCUAUCUGGAUUUUGGUGCACUUGUGAGUUUUGAUGUGGCAGAACUCAACUGAAACUAGUGUCUGAGUUUUCCAAGACCCCACUAGGAGCUGUCUGCACUCAGACUACACACCAGCCGGCUACUGCCAAGAUCCAAGAAGAGACACAAAAAGAGACCAGAAAGAUCUGAUCAAUAACCUAAUAUUAUAACUUAAGGAACUAGAAAAAGAACAAACUGAACUCAAAACUAGCAUAGGGAAGAAAAUCAUAAAGAUUAGAGCAGAGAUAAAUGAAAUAAAGAAUUGAAAAAAUAAACCAAGUGGGUAUUAAUGGUAAUUAUAUAAGUUCCCAUUGCUUUGUAAUGAACUUACCCCCACAACAUAGCAGCUUAAAGCCACAAGCAUUCAGUUUUCUGCAGAUCAGGAAUCUGGGAGUGGCUUUGCUCGGAGGUUCUGGCUCAGGGUCUCUCAUGAGGUCAUGGUCACACUGGGAGCUAGGGCAGCAGUCAUCUGAAAGCCUGACUGAGCCUCAAAUACCUGCUUCUAAGAAGGCUCACUCACAUGGCUGGUGGUAAGAGGCCUCAGCUUCUUGUUGUGUUUUAGCAGGAAGCAUCAAUUUCUCACCACUUGGGCCUCACCCCAGGGCCUCCUGAGGGUCCUUACAAAAUGGCAGCUGUCUUCCUCCAGAGCUAGUGAUCCAAGAGCAAGAAAGAAGCCACAUGCUUUCUGUAACCUAGGCUUGGAAGUCCCACAUGUUUUUACUGCCACCACAUUCGACUUGCUAGAAUCAAGUUGCUAAAUCCAGCCUCAUUUAAGAGGAGGGGAAUUAGCUUUUGGAAGCAAGACUAUCAAAGAACUUAUGGACGUAUUUUAAAAUCAUCACAGUAAUCAUUUUAAGAUUAUAGGAGUGUGUCUUUUUUUCUUUAUUAGACAAUUUUCUAUAUAUGGUAUUUAUUUUAUUUUUAUAAUGGAAAACUUUAAAAGAGAAAGUUUAUAUAAGGAGUUACAAACACAUUUCUGUACUUCAAUGCACUCAGCGAACUUAAAAAAAGAAAAAAUACCUACAGAGGUUCUGUGAUGACCUAAUGGGUUAAGAAUCCAGCAUAAUCACUGCUGUGGCUUGGGUCAUUGCUAUGACACAGGUUCCAUUUGUGGCCUGGAAACUUUUGCACACCAUAGGCAUAGCAAAACAAAACAAACAAAUAAAACAAAACAAAAAAUUCCAAAGGUCAAAUUCAACUCUCUCAAUUAUUCCUCUAGUCUUUAUCACAUCCUCUGAAAACCACAGUCACUAGACAGACAGUUCAUCCUCAAAUGUCUGCCAUACACCUCAGAGGAAGGAACACUGGGGGUGGGCAGCCUAAAGCAUAAGCCUCACACCUGCUCCCCCACAUGCUUACAUCUACUCAUCAGUAAAGGCAGACUGCACAUCAGCUCAGUUGCCCUUAAAAUUGUCUUAACUUGCACAAAAACCUUGCACAUUUAGCUGUUCUUAGUUCUUAUAAGAAAUAGCCAUAUGAAACCUGUUAGUAGAGAUUUUAUAAAUCUGUUUUCAAGGACACUGCAUUAUUAGGUCUCUCAGUGCUUUCUAUAGUAGAUCAUGAGGGAAAUAUCUUUUAGAAUGCACUGCCAUGGAAAAUUGCUCCCUGGAAGAAUGAACAUACUUAGUUCUAAAGUUUGGCCUGUUUCCUUUCUUUGUCAUGGCUACAAGGAAACUCACAGUGGUGUACCAACUUUUGCAGUUAACAUAGGCCUUUUCUUUUACAUGAUCCUGAUUUUAUAAUGUCAUCACCUUGCUUUACAUCACUCCUUUAUCCAAAGCUAUGAGAAGUAUUUUUUUUUUAGAAAUAAGCUAAAAAGCUAAUAAGCUAGUGCUUAUCAUAUGUUAAACACUGGCAAGAUAUAUGUAUAUCAUAUGUAAUAUAUAAUGUGUGUGUGGUCUCCAGUGAAAGAGAAAAUUUUCUUUUCUUUCUUAUAAAGCAACAAAAGUGCAAUUUGGAAAUGGUUAAUAGUUUUCAAUUUCUCCAAAUAAAGACCUCUGGGAUAUUCUUUUAGAGGGUGGGAGGUUGGGUUUGUGAUCAGGACAACUUGCUAUUAUCAAUACAAAGCAAGUUCUAUCCAUAGAUUUUUUUUAGGAAAAGAAAAACUGUGACAUCACCAUAAAUCUUAAUAAUAAUGCUAUAGAGUACAGGAUUUUGCUUAUUAAUUAUUAUAAUAUAAACUAAGCAAGCUCUAAUCAUACCAUCUUUGUAGAUUCCAAAGUGUGGAUUUAGAUUGGAUUUUAGAGCUCACACAUGGUAUUACUUAAGCUGGAAAAAACUUCCUUUUGAACAAUGUACUCUCAACCUUUGUGACGGCCUUGUCAGGACAAUGGAAUUCAGACUAUACCUCUGUAGGGUUAGGGAAUCCCCUGAAGGAGGUGAAAGUUUCCACCCUCAAGUAAGAAACAGCAUGGCCUUCAAAGGAGGGAGGGAAGUAGGGUUUGGUGGGUCUUUUGACAUUAGGAAGGACUUCAUAAAUAUCACUGCAGAUUGGAAGGGCGGCCAACAUUCUUAUGAAUAGUAUAUAUAAGAAACUACAGCAGAGGUGUGUCAUAGCCUGUCUGCUCUCACAUCCUGUAGAGCGCAAACUUGUAGGAAUA
rnacentral:lncRNA from 1 species